CAGAAAUUAGCUCAGGGCUAGUCUUCCUCAAAAAAAAAGGAAAAUGGGGAAGUAGAUCCAGGUGAUGGUUGAACAACACUGAAUGUACUGAAUUGUACACUUUACAACGGUUAAAAUGGUUCACAUUAUGAAUUUUACCUCAGUUUUAUAAAAAGAAUAUUGAACAUGUCUCUCCCCCAACCCCAUCCCCUAGCAACUGGUACAAGUUCCAGAGAGAUUGUGAGCAUUUAUAAACAUUCGUGUGUAUACUUUUUCAUAUAAACGGUAGCAUCCUGUAUACGUUGUGCUGUAGCUCGCUUCUUUUCCUUAGCAGAGAUCUUGGAGAUUACACCACAUCAGCACUUACACCCUCGCUGUGUUCUUCCUAACCUCUCUAUACUGUUGCAUUUUGUGGAUGUGCCCUGGUUUAUCCAGCCUGUCCCCUUUUGAUGGACAUUUAGAUUGUUUCCAGGCUUUUGCUAUUUCAAACAAGGCUGCUGUGAAUAGCCUUGUACAUGGGUCAUUUCACACAUGCCUCUAUCUGUGGGGAAAUUCCCAGAAGGGGAAUUGCUGGGUCAAAGGGCACGUGCAUUUUAAUUUUUCCAGUUGCAAAAAUAAUGCAUACUUGUUAUCCAGAUUUCAAACAGCUCGGAAGCUAAAAAGUGAAAGAAGCCUUCCCCCCAACCCCAAUCCCAAGCCUCCGAGGCGGGGUUGCUCCUCUUUCUUCCUCUGCCUCCCUUUUCUGGGCACUUCCUUCCUGGCCCCUUGCUGGCAGCUUUUAGAGCCUUCCCUGCCUGCCUGAUUCUGAUUCUCCCCUCCUCCUACUCACUCCCCCACCUGCCUCCCUCCUCGAGCCCCCACAUCUUCCUUCCCUCAUCCCUCAGUAGAGACUUUCUCAACUGAGCCCAGGGCCUGGGCUGGGACUGAGGCUCACAAUCAAAUAUAACCUGUUAGCACCAAACCUCCCAAUGGCAGGCACCUGGCAAAUGCUUUCGAAUCAUAGAAUGUUCACACCAAAAGGUUAGGGGCUUCUAAUCAAACCCUCACCUCCCACCUUACAUAGGAGGCAACUGAGGCCCAGCGAACAGGUUUACAGAGCCAGGAAGAGAAGCCACAUCACCUGACACCCUGUCCAGGAGUCAUUUCAUUCAUUCAAUAAACAGUCAUUGAGUAUUAUGAAUGCCCACUGUGUCAGGCACUGUUCUAGGCUCUGGGCUCCAGCAGUAAAUGAAACAGAAACAUUAUAGUUUGUUCAGUGAGACCAACCAAAAACAAGUAAACAAAAUACUUCACAUGAUGGUCAGUGCCAUGCAAGCCUUAUAAAGAGUGACUUGGGCCCAGGAGUCUUAAUUGGGCAGUGAUAUCUGAGCUAGAACCUGAAUGACAGGAAGGAGCCAGCUAAACCAGCAAAUGCAAAGGUCCUGAGGUAGGAAGGAAAUUUGUAUUUGACAGACAAGAGGAAGGCCAAUGUGACUGAAGCAAAUGAAGUGGCAGAAGUGCACAGGGCUGAUCACUUAGGGCCCUGGAGGCAGAGUGAGGUCAUUCUGCAAAGCCAUAAAGUCAAUUUCUCCUCUGCCCUCAAUAGCUCAGUCUAGAGGACACAGCAGGGGCUCCCUGAACUCUUAGUGAAUGAAUGAAUGAAGGAUCACUGUGUGUUAAAGGUGAGUGAAGAAGAGAGGCAGACAGGUGUUACAGAAUCCUUAAACAGAGACACAGAUUCAAGCCCCACAUUACCGGCUGGAUGGCCUGGGACCCGCUGUUGUUCGUCUGUGUAAUCAUCAUAAUGGCAGCCAACCCUCAGAGGACUUCGUGAGCCAUACAUUUACAUCUGUGUUGCAACGACUCAACUCUGCCCUUGUAGCUGUAGCGGGAAAGCAGCCAUAGAUGAUAUAAGAACAUUUGCGUGGCUGUGUUCCAAUAAAACUUUAUUUACAAAACCAGGCUGUGGGCCAACUGUGCGUUAGAGAGCAUUUAAAAUGUUCCAAGGGCCCUCCCCUGGCGGAGUGGUUAAGUUCACGCACUCCGCUUCAGCGGCGCGGGAUUUCGCUGGUUGGGAUCCUGGGCACUGACAUGGCACUGCUCAUCAAGCCACGCUGAGGUGGCAUCCCACACAGCACAACUAGAAGGACCCACAACUAGUUUAUAUAACCAUGUACUGGGGGGCUUUGGGGAAAAGAAGAAGGGGGAAAAGAUUGGCAACAGAUGUUAGCUCAGGUGCCAAUCUUUAAAGAGUUCCAGGUCCAGUUCUAAGAGCCUUACAUGUAUUAAUACCUUUAUAAUGAGGGGCUCGACAGGUAAAUCGCUCUGUAUCUCAUUUGGGUCUUGGACCGCCAUUGAGACUCAGGUGGUGUCUCUGGAUGCUCACUCCAGAAAUUUACACACAUAUACAGAGUUGUGCACACAGCUGAAGGGGUUAAGGACCUUCUGAGGCCUUUGUGGGCCCCCUGGAUGGAUAAUUGCUAAGGCCCCUUCUAUGUCAGACAGUGACCAGGUGGUGGUUCUACGAAUCGUGGAAUGCCAGGGGGAAGGCUCAGAGAGAUAGAGUAGGAACCAGGGAUUUCCGAAUGGAUGGUGCAGUCUGGGACAGUGGUUGAGGGGCUGACAAGAGGUCUCCAUCUGACCACUCUGCCAGAGUCUGUAGAAUGAGCUCUAGAUAGUUGUCAUUCCAGGGACACAUGGCCUACUUGGCCCCUGGAGGACUUCCUUCCCAAAGUGAAUGGCAGAAAAAGCCUAGCUUGAGGGGGAACCCUGCAGGAGCCCCCUUCAGUCCUGUCUCCUGACGGCAGUGGUAGGUCAAGCACAUCUCUUCAACUAUGUGCCUCCACUGUGAAAGGCAGGAGUUGGAUCCUUCUUUCCAACUACAGGUGUUCAUGGGCACCUACUGUGCCAGUGAGGAAGCAGCGACAGGCACAAAGAACUAUGCGCAAGGGGAAUGAGAGGCCACUUGCAGCCUUCAGCCAGGACAGCUGGGAAUGGGCCUAGAAGUCCACAGCCCUGGAGCCAGACCCUGAAGAUGGGUAGUUGGGGGCAUUCCAGGCAGAGGGACAGAUACGGGUUUGGGGAAACUCAGGGUGUGCAGGGCCUGGUUUGGCUGGAGUGUCAGGUGAAUGGAGAGGAGCUCUCAGGAGCAAGGCAAGGGGAGAAUUGGUGGUACAGGCCCUGAUGGGAGCUAGGCCAAGGGUCAUCAGGAGCUGACAACUGCAGGGCCUUAGCGGUGGAGAGAGGGGCAAGGUUUGUAGGAGGGGAGUAGGGAGAGACAGUGAUGCCUGGGGCCUGGGCAAGGGCUUCAGGGGCAGGACAGAGAAGAAAGCAGGAUUUGGUAGGAAAUCUGUCAGGUGGUUGGAAAUGGGAGCCUGGAGCUGGGGAGAGAUUAGGGAAGACUGCCCAAGGUGAAUGGCAGGCAGUGGCCGCCUUCCCAGAGGGGAGAUAUUGGUAGGAACUGCAGGAAGCAAGCGCUGGAUGCUCAUCAGCAUGUGAAAGGCUCAGAAAGAAGGGGGUGGGGGAGACUAGACCAGUUUAGAUCAGUUCAGCCUGCCAUCAGGCUGCUGUGGGCCUGGGGGCUCACGGAGGCUCACACGUGGACUUCCUGGAAGAACAUUCCAGACAAAUAAACUUAAGCAGGCGUCCAAGAGAUUUAACCAUCUGACAAAGCUGAGUAUAUGUUUUAAAUGUUUUGAAGUAAACCAGCUUCAGUUAGAGGGCUGGAUGGAGUAAGUGCAUAAAGCAACCUGAGCCUUGUCCAUCUCUAGUGGAACCCAUUGCCCCUUGUAUUUUAACGCAAGAGGUUGGGGUUGUUAUCUCUUUUACAGAUGAGGAAGCUGCGGUUCAGAGAGAUUUAGAAGCUGUCCCAAGAUCACAGAGCAGGAAAGAAGGGAAGCCAGGGCUGGACUGGAACCCAAGCGUCACUGACCUCGGACUCCUUGCUCUUAACCUCCAGGGCAUGCGACCUGGCAAUUAAAUUUAACUUAAAUUAAAAUUAAUUUAAAUUUAAGUCAGGAUUAAAAGUUAGUAGCAGCAUUAAAUCCAUGGUUGGCAGACGAAGCAGUCAAGUCCCCCUUUUCCUCCCACCUCCUCAGUGCCGACUGCCUGCCUGCCACCCUUCCCCGAGCCGCCAGCUCUUUUGGAGUUGCUCGUUGUCCUGAGACACAGAAGCCGGGAGAAAUGGCAGGGUCUCAGGCCCGGGGCCUUGGUGGUGCCUCUGGUAGAAACGGGCAGGUUGAGAAGAGGAAACUAUUUUGCAGGAUGAUUGUAGUUCAUUUGUCAUCAGACAGACUGGGAUCCACUACGUAUCAGCUAUGUAACCUGGGACAAUAAAUAAACUGUCUGAGCCUCAGCUUCCCCAGAUUGUAAAAUGGGGGUGGUAAUAGUACCUACCUCACAGUGUCUGUGAAGAUGGAAUGCAGUACUGUGUGUAACACCCUCAGCUCAAGGGCUGCGCGCGUGUGUGGUAGAAGCCAUGUAUGUGGUUUUGAUUGUGAGUGUCAUCCUCAGGUGGUUGGGGUGGGCCCUGAGUUUCUUUGACAUUCUGCACCCUGUGAUGAGUUGGUAUUUGAGUCUGAGAUUCCACAAGCUGCUGGAGGUACAGGACCAGAGGUCAGGCGAGAGUUCUGGAGUGGAAACUCUGGUCUGAGAGUCUGCGGCACGGCUCCAACGUGGUCUCUGGAUGUCUAGAGCCAGGGCAGGGGGUGGUGCAUCUUCUGGAAGACACUGCAGAGGAGCUGCAAGAUGCUGCCUGAGCUUCUCUCCCUUUUCAAUCCUUUCCCAACACUCACCCACCAACCUGCCCCUCCCCAUUUGGAGGCACCCUUGCAUGGGGAACAAGUCAGGGGUCUGGAGUCAAAACAGUGGAGGUCACAUCUUGCCCUGCCAAGCUGUGGGGACUUGGGCAAGCCACUCAAUGUCUCCAGUCGGCAGUUUCCCCAUCUGUGCCAAGGGAUAUAUGAUAAUGCUCACUCCGGAGGAGAGGUUGAGAGGAUGAGUCUGGACUCUAAAGAGAGGCUAUGAAAGCACUUAGGAAACUUUAAAGGCUACGCAAAUUCAGGGCAUAACUUUUCUCACAGGCCUGAUACCAAUGACCCCUCUUCCUUGAAGCCUUCCCAGAUUGCACAAUUGGAAGUGAUUUCUUCCCCCACUGAUCUCCCACUGCUGCUCACCUGAACCUUAUAUACACACCUGCUGUCCUCAUUGAGAGACAUGAUUCUGCGCACAAAACAGGACGGGUAUCCUGAAUUCCAGCCAGGAUCUUGGCAGUAUCUCCUGACACCCCUGUUGUCUGUCCACCAAGCACUUGCCUAGCAUUUGUCCUGUCCUCUCUCUGUAGGAACCAGCCACGCUCAUCCUCUGUGGCUGCUCCCUGACCACAGAACCUUGAUGCACGGUGGAGUCCUUAACCCAAGUGGCCAAUAAGCUUUUUCCCUGAGAAUUCACAUUUGGGCCUGGGAUUGACAGGGAGUCAAUUGAGCAUCUCUCUGAGUAAUUAAACCUGUAAAAUGCAAAACUCUGGAAGCUGGUCACUUUCCUCUUCUACCUUGUAGAUAGGGAAAUAGGGAAAGCCAGUCAUCAGAG
ensembl:lncRNA